CCGAAGCCAUCCGUCCCGCCAUCAUCCUCCUCUAUCAGGGAGAGUUCGUUCUUGGAAGCGAUCGGGAGAACGGCCCGUAAAGCGUCGUCGGCCUCGCCUCUCGUUUCAGCCCUUGAUCUCGUGCUCCCGACGCCGACAUUUCCGGGUGGCCGUACCUCCCGGUUGCUCGUCGAUGCGAGGAAGACCUUCCCUCGUGAAUCGAUCGGGAGAUCCUUCGGGUCGCCGUACCUCCUGGUUGCUCGUCGAUGCGAGGAAGACCUUCCCUCGUCUAAUCUCGAAUCAAUCGGGAGAUCGUUUUCCAGGGAAGGGGCAAUCCGCACGCAUGUUGGGAGCCAAACAGUAAUUAUCAUAAAGAUUAUGGGUUGCAGAAGGAACCACCGGCAGCCCAGAUGAGCGGAAGCUCCAAUUAUAUUUUCUGCGGAAGGAGGAGGAAUUUUCUUCUUCGGCUUCAGGGUAUAGCAAAGGUGUCUCACUUUUGGUCCUAGCCUUGGGUGACGAAUAAAAAUCGAUGAGAGUUUCUCCCUGGGAUCAAUCCCGAUUGGUGGAACAAGAAGUUAAUCCUGAAUUCCCGCUGGCUUCCCGAAACGAGCACGUCUCCCAUGGAUGUUCUUCCUUUGUCUGCUUUGGCCGUGCCUCCUCGGGAGUGAAUGGAACAUCUCCUCCCAAAGUUGGUCCGGUCCACCAUUACGAAACUCCGCUCGAUUCUUCGACUACUAACAGUUGCAAGGAAUCCGCAACCGAGGAUGUGGUUGUUGAGGGUGACAGAAAGAUAUGUCGUAAGAGCAGCCUGAAGAAGCAGUUCACAGAUCACUCUGCUUCAGAUGCUGAAGCUGUUGGUACGAAUGGUUCUUCAAGAGAAGUACCAGGUAGCACAUCCGGGUUUACGAAAAGGAAGCUGCAGUGGUCUGAUGCAUGCGGAAAGGAGCUUGUCGAAAUUAAGGAGUUUGAGCUCAGUGACGAUGACGUAUCAGACGAUGAAUUCGGACACGACGGUGACAGAUGCCAAUGUCAUGUACAGUAGAUCUCAUCUUCAUCGUGGACGAAAGGACUCGCACUAUCGGGCGAUGAUGACGAUCUCCUGCGGGGCGUUUGUAAAAUCUGACUAGUGUUUUGUUGGCCAUUCGUGGCCUCUCCGCUAGACUUGCAUGCGUGUGGGACUGCUGUUGUACUAAUAGGCUAUUGUUGGGAUCAGGGAGAAAUUUGCUAUGUAUAUUCUUUUCUUUUCUUUUCGAUGAAUGAAUUAUUUGGCAUCCCUUUAUUUAAUUUUCUUUUGGAGUA